UCUGCCCUAUUUGCUAUCAAACCUUCCACAUUCCUUCCUCUUAUAUAUUUCUAUUUCUACUUAUUUAGAAGCGGGAGUUGGACUCUUUGUCGUCCUGCUUCCGAUUUACAAUUAGGUCCCUUUUUUGGAUCAAAAGUCGGGUUAUUUUUGUGACUCUGCUCAUUUUGUACUUUCUGCAGCGUCUUCUCCCUUCGCACGCUCUUCGAUACGCCCCUUUUCCAUCGACGUGGAAGACAAACCGGCUCUUUCUUCUGCUGCUGUCAGCUGUUUCUCCAGAUGUGUAACACCUGCAUUUGGAUGGAUAUCCGAUUAGGGGUGACCGCCAAAAAUAUCUGCAACAGCUUCUAUUCCGCUUGGGUUUUCCGGUUUACUACUCUGUUCUUUUUGGUCUCUCUACUUGCUGGCUGGAACAAAAUUGUUGACGUUUCUCCUACGUUAAGUACAACCAACAUACUUGCAGAAGAAGUUCAGCACUGUAAAGAGUCUGCAUAAUACAUGGAGCACAGAUUAACCAUUGAUAGGAUCGCUCCACAAACAAAAGAGUGGACGUCAAAGGUACAACUCAUUGAGAAACCUCGGCCAAGGCAAAGUAAAGAUGGAAAGACGCGAUUCCAGAUUGCUGUUGUCCGAGACGAAAGAGAAGAGCAAGUAGUCGCUGUUCUGUACGGGGAAGACAUAGAAAAGUAUGCAGACAAGCUCACCCCGUUUUCCACUUACUUGAUAUCUACUGCAAAAGUGAGGGUUCCUUUACCCUACGGAGUACUUAUCAACCGUUUUGAAUAGGUUAUCGACAAAUUUACUGUCGUCGAAGAGGUCAAAGAUGAUAACAUACAGGACCCACUGCUCCCACCGCCGACGAGGUUGAAUACUGUACCCUUUGCAUAUUUGCACGAGCAACAGCGAAAUACGGAAUUUGACAUAAUUGCCAUUGUGGUGAAAUGUGGCUCGAUAAAGUAUGCUGGCACUAACAGUAACAAAUGUCGUGAAAUCAUCGUAAUGGAUACCAAUAUGAGGCCUACUAUCCUUACGCUGUGGGAAGACCUCGCCGACGCUGAUGGAAGCAUCCUCGCUGCACAGGUUGCUGAAUAUCCAAUAAUUGUAGCAAAACGAAUUACGUGAACCAACUAUGUUGGAUUAUCAUUGUCGACAAGGUACAACUCGGUCAUACUAAUAAAUCUACCAUAUCCUCAAGUUGGAAGACUUCUGAACUGUUCUUGGGGAUGUGUGACUUUGCCCUUAUAUUCGGUGAGUAUUUUGGUAUGGUAUAUGUAACAUUGGUAAGAACAACCAGUACUUCUAUGAGCUUCCAAUAUGUACUGUUAUUCCUUUGAUCAGCUAUGAAAUAGCACUGCACCGUGUUGCUUGUUGGGGAUAGUUGCUCUACAAUCUGACAAAUAAGGGUCAGAGACAACCGACCAAGAUUGAUGAGAUACAGUCAGCAAAAUUUUUCGGCGGUUGAUUCGUCUCUGGUGCUUGCGGCAGAACACAAUGAUACUGUCCCAAUUGCUGAUAUCCAGUCACAACCUCAUAUACAACUCUUUUACGUGGAAGGUAAAUUAUCAUUGCCGACUGGUGACCAAGAUUUCUAUGAAUUACUGUGUUCCCACUGCGGGCAGCAGUACAGAACUCAUUUGCCGAAAAUUAUUCAUUGUGCAAGCUGCAAGCAACGUGCGAUGUUAACACCCAGGGCCUGCUUUGAGGUUGUAAUGACAGAUGACAAUGGAUCAGCUGUUGCGACAUUAAUAGGCGAAUUAGGAGAGAAAUUUCUUGACAUGACCGCCGCAGAUAUCUGUGAAAUAAUCUCAGUUAAGGAAAAACCAUUACCUCUUGAACAUGUUCGACAGUGUCUUCCUCAUAAACUCUUCAAGAUAUAACUGAGAAAAACAUUUUCUAGAACUUCUGAUACGCGGUUGUUCAUUGUGUCCUACUAUGUGAAGGAAGAUUUGUUUCAAUUGCCCGCACCAGUAGCCUCUGAAGAAAUUGGAGAGAGCAGUAACACUAAAUUGGAAAAUGUUGAACUCAAGAAAGAGAUAGAAAACGAAGACAACAUUCAGUCGAAUGUGGAACAAGUUACACCCAGAGAAGAGCUGAAGAACGAGUUAACUACUAAAGGUGGCUCUUCUACCAAGAGGCAACAAAGAGGCAACAAACUAAACUGGAGACUCCCCCAAGAAAAAAUGAAGGGUGUUAUAACUCUGUAAAAAAUGCCUGUAUAUACGUCUUCUCCUGAUAUGUACAUACGUGUUUGAAGAUCGCUAGCAUGUGUUUGACAG